CUUGCUUCUAUGACGUUAGCGGCGGGACGGGUGAGUAACACGUGGGCAACCUGCCUGUAAGACUGGGAUAACUUCGGGAAACCGAAGCUAAUACCGGAUAGGAUCUUCUCCUUCAUGGGAGAUGAUUGAAAGAUGGUUUCGGCUAUCACUUACAGAUGGGCCCGCGGUGCAUUAGCUAGUUGGUGAGGUAACGGCUCACCAAGGCAACGAUGCAUAGCCGACCUGAGAGGGUGAUCGGCCACACUGGGACUGAGACACGGCCCAGACUCCUACGGGAGGCAGCAGUAGGGAAUCUUCCGCAAUGGACGAAAGUCUGACGGAGCAACGCCGCGUGAGUGAUGAAGGCUUUCGGGUCGUAAAACUCUGUUGUUAGGGAAGAACAAGUACAAGAGUAACUGCUUGUACCUUGACGGUACCUAACCAGAAAGCCACGGCUAACUACGUGCCAGCAGCCGCGGUAAUACGUAGGUGGCAAGCGUUAUCCGGAAUUAUUGGGCGUAAAGCGCGCGCAGGCGGUUUCUUAAGUCUGAUGUGAAAGCCCACGGCUCAACCGUGGAGGGUCAUUGGAAACUGGGGAACUUGAGUGCAAAAAAGAAAAGCGGAAUUCCACGUGUAGCGGUGAAAUGCGUAUAGAUGUGGAGGAACACCAGUGGCGAAGGCGGCUUUUUGGUCUGUAACUGACGCUGAGGCGCGAAAGCGUGGGGAGCAAACAGGAUUACAUACCCUGGUAGUCCACGCCGUAAACGAUGAGUGCUAAGUGUUAGAGGGUUUCCGCCCUUUAGUGCUGCAGCUAACGCAUUAAGCACUCCGCCUGGGGAGUACGGUCGCAAGACUGAAACUCAAAGGAAUUGACGGGGGCCCCGCACAAGCGGUGGAGCAUGUGGUUUUAAUUCGAAGCAACGCGAAGAACCUUACCAGGUCUUGACAUCCUCUGACAACUCUAGAGAUAGAGCGUUCCCCUUCGGGGGACAGAGUGACAGGUGGUGCAUGGUUGUCGUCAGCUCGUGUCGUGAGAUGUUGGGUUAAGUCCCGCAACGAGCGCAACCCUUGAUCUUAGUUGCCAGCAUUUAGUUGGGCACUCUAAGGUGACUGCCGGUGACAAACCGGAGGAAGGUGGGGAUGACGUCAAAUCAUCAUGCCCCUUAUGACCUGGGCUACACACGUGCUACAAUGGAUGGUACAAAGGGCUGCAAGACCGCGAGGUCAAGCCAAUCCCAUAAAACCAUUCUCAGUUCGGAUUGUAGGCUGCAACUCGCCUACAUGAAGCUGGAAUCGCUAGUAAUCGCGGAUCAGCAUGCCGCGGUGAAUACGUUCCCGGGCCUUGUACACACCGCCCGUCACACCACGAGAGUUUGUAACACCCGAAGUCGGUGGAGUAACCGUAAGGAGC
rnacentral:rRNA from 2 species